ensembl:snoRNA
AAGACUAUACUUUCAGGGAUCAUUUCUAUAGUUUGUGACUUGAGAAAUGUGUUUCUAAAGUGUAUGGUCUCACUGCCCACGAUGAAGAGUUGGUGAUGCUCCUUCUUGAACAUGAAGAAAGUAGAGACUUGGUUCAUCCUUGUUCUCUGCUACUGAUGACUGUUCACUGUUUCUUCUAGAGACGGUGUGUGAAGGAGUAUGAUCUGAGUGGUC